UACGGAGGGUGCAAGCGUUAUCCGGAUUCACUGGGUUUAAAGGGUGCGUAGGUGGGUUGGUAAGUCAGUGGUGAAAUCUCCGUGCUUAACAUGGAAACUGCCAUUGAUACUACUGAUCUUGAAUUUUCUGGAGGUAAGCGGAAUAUGUCAUGUAGCGGUGAAAUGCUUAGAUAUGACAUAGAACACCAAUUGCGAAGGCAGCUUACUACAGGGAUAUUGACACUGAGGCACGAAAGCGUGGGGAUCAAACAGG
rnacentral:rRNA from 1 species